CAGGCUUAAUACAUGCAAGGCGAGGGGGCAGCAAUGUCACCGUCGUACGGGUGCGUAACGCGUAUGCAACCUACCUUCAACUGGGGGAUAGCCCGGGGAAACCCGGAUUAAUACCGCAUAAUACAGGGGGCCCUCAUGGGUCUAUUUGUUAAAGAUUUAUUGGUUGAAGAUGGGCAUGCGUUCGAUUAGCUAGUUGGCAGGGUAACGGCCUACCAAGGCGACGAUCGAUAGGGGAGCUGAGAGGUUGAUCCCCCACACGGGCACUGAGAUACGGGCCCGACUCC
rnacentral:rRNA from 2 species